rnacentral:rRNA from 1 species
GAGGAGUCCGCGUCCGAUUAGCUAGUUGGUAGGGUAAUGGCCUACCAAGGCGACGAUCGGUAGCCGGCCUGAGAGGGUGAUCGGCCACACUGGAACUGAGACACGGUCCAGACUCCUACGGGAGGCAGCAGUGGGGAAUUUUGCGCAAUGGGCUAACGCCUGACGCAGCAACGCCGCGUGGAGGAUGAAGGUCUUUGGAUUGUAAACUCCUGUCAGCAGGGAAAAAGCGACUCGUGCUCAUACCACGGGGAGUUGAUUGUACCUGCAGAGGAAGCCCCGGCUAACUCUGUGCCAGCAGCCGCGGUAAUACAGAGGGGGCAAGCGUUAUUCGGAAUUAUUGGGCGUAAAGGGCGCGUAGGCGGCCUUGCAAGUGGAUGGUGAAAUCCCUCGGCUUAACCGAGGAACUGCCAUCCAGACUGCUUGGCUUGAGACCGGGAGAGGUGAGCGGAAUUCCCAGUGUAGCGGUGAAAUGCGUAGAUAUUGGGAGGAACACCAGUGGCGAAGGCGGCUCACUGGACCGGUACUGACGCUGAUGCGCGAAAGCGUGGGGAGCAAACGGGAUUAGAUACCCCGGUAGUCCACGCCGUAAACGAUGAGUGCUUGGUGU